UGACAAAGAUCUGGUAUCCAGUAUCUAAAAUAUACAGUGUUGGUGGGAGUGUAAAUUAGUUCAACCAUUUACAGUUGGCAAUUCCUCAAAGAGCUAAAAGCAGGACUACUAUUUGACCCAGCAAUCCUAUUACUGGGUAUAUACCCAAUGGAAUAUAAAUCAUUCUACCAUGAAGACACAUGCAUGUGUAUGUUCAUUUCAGCACUAUUCACAAUACCAAAGACACAGAAUCAACCUAAAUGUCCAUCAAUGGCAGAUUGGGUGAAAAAAACUGUGGUACAUACAUACCAUGGAAUACUAUGCAGCCAUAAAAAAGAAUAAGAUCAUGACUAGUCUUAGUACCUGGCUGACAAAGUAAUCUGUACAAAAAUCCCACAUGACACAAGUUUACCUAUAUAACAAACCUGCAUAUGUACCCCUGAACAUAAAAGUUAAAAAAAAAAAAAGUUUCAACUACUCUUCUCUCUAAACCUUUUAGGAAACAGGCAAAGCUAAGGUUGAAAAGCCACACUCAGACACCUGGGUGCCAAAUACUGAGUCACUUUGGGAGAAGGCCUGCCCUCUCAGGUAGAACUUACUAAAUGUUAGUCAUUAGGAUAUUUCUAGAUAAAUAUUAGAUAUUUCUCAAUACAAAAUAUUGGCAGCCCAAAGAAAGGCUGUGAUUUAAGCUGAAGUCUCCAUUUGGAAAUU
rnacentral:lncRNA from 1 species